AGAAAAGUAAGCUAAAUAAGCUAAUGGGUUCAUACCCCAUAUAUAGAGAUUAUUCUCUCUCUUCUA
rnacentral:tRNA from 1 species